UACGAAGGGUGCAAGCGUUACUCGGAAUUACUGGGCGUAAAGCGUGCGUAGGUGGUUCGUUAAGUCUGUCGUGAAAGCCCCGGGCUCAACCUGGGAAUGGCGAUGGAUACUGGCGGGCUAGAGUGCGGUAGAGGAGAGUGGAAUUCCCGGUGUAGCAGUGAAAUGCGUAGAGAUCGGCAGGAACACCCAGGGGGAAACCAGUGGACUGGCACGGAGCUGACGCUCAGGUGCGAAAGCGUGGGGAGCGAACCGG
rnacentral:rRNA from 1 species